ensembl:snRNA U6 U6 spliceosomal RNA
CUGCUUGCUUCAUCAGUACCUAUACUAAAAUUGGAAUGAUGCGGAAGAGAUUAAUAUGGUCCCUGUUUGAAGAUGACACAAAUUCAUGAAGCAUUUCACAUUUUU